rnacentral:rRNA from 1 species
UAGGGAAUAUUGCGCAAUGGGCGAAAGCCUGACGCAGCGACACCGUGUGAAGGAUGAAGGUCUUCGGAUUGUAAACUUCUGUCAGUUGGGGACGAAGGUACUGAGGUUAGUAGCCCGCAGUAUUGACGGUACCUAAUAAGGAAGUCUCGGCUUACUCCGUGCCAGCAGCCGCGGUAAGACGGGGGAGGCAAGCGUUGUCCGGAAUUAUUGGGCGUAAAGAGCGCGUAGGUGGUUUAUCAAGUCAUUUGUGAAAACUUUAGGCUUAACUUAAAGAUUGCAAGUGAUACUGAUAUACUUGAGCACAGCAGAGGAAAGUGGAAUUCCUGGUGUAGCGGUAAAAUGCGCAGAUAUCAGGAAGAACACCAGUGGCGAAGGCGGCUUUCUGGGCUGUUGCUGACACUGAGGCGCGAAAGCUAAGGGAGCAAACAG